UACAGAGGUCUCGAGCGUUGUUCGGAUUCAUUGGGCGUAAAGGGUGCGUAGGUGGCACUGUAAGUCGGGUGUGAAAUCCUGGGGCUUAACCCCGGAACUGCAUUCGAUACUGCAGUGCUUGAGGACUGGAGAGGAGAGACUGGAAUUCAUGGUGUAGCAGUGAAAUGCGUAGAGAUCAUGAGGAAGACCAGUGGCGAAGGCGGGUCUCUGGACAGUUCCUGACACUGAGGCACGAAGGCCAGGGGAGCAAACGGG
rnacentral:rRNA from 1 species